rnacentral:misc_RNA from 1 species
GAUGAAGAACGUAGUGAAAUGCGAUAAGUAGUGUGAAUUGCAGAAUUCAGUGAAUCAUCGAAUCUUUGAACGCACAUUGCGCCCCUCGGUAUUCCGUGGGGCAUGCCUGUUCGAGCGUCAUUUAACCCCUCAAGCCUAGCUUGGUAUUGGGUGCUUGUCCCGUCUCUCGCGCGGCGACUCACCUCAAAGUCAUUGGCAGCCCGCAUCUCGCCGGCCGUGAGCGCAGCACAGACGCGCUCUUGGCAACGACGGAUCGGCUCUCCAAAAGCUUAUUUCAACCACUGACCUCGGAUCAGGUAGGGAUACCCGCUGAACUUAAGCAUAUCAAUAAGCGGAGGA